GACUGAUACAGUAGGUAUGUAAGGUACUCACUAACAGAAUAAGGGUAUUAGAUGAAUUGACAGAUACAGUAGGUAUGUAAGGUACUCACUAACAGAAUAAUGGUAUUAGAUGAAUUGACUGAUACAGUAGGCGUGAGAAGGUACUCACCGGGAGCGAAGGCCAGGUUAUCGUUACACUCCUCCUCAGUACAGGAGCAGAUGAACAACGGUCCUCCAGAGCUCUUCUUCUCUUUCAUGGAACACGUAGAGCUGUUGUAGUCAUC